rnacentral:rRNA from 1 species
UGGGGAAUAUUGGACAAUGGGCGCAAGCCUGAUCCAGCUAUACCGCGUGUGUGAAGAAGGCCUUCGGGUUGUAAAGCACUUUAAGCAGGGAGAAAAAGUUAUAAGUUAAUACCUUAUAACCGUGAUGUUACCUGCAGAAUAAGCACCGGCUAAUUCCGUGCCAGCAGCCGCGGUAAUACGAAGGGUGCUAGCGUUGUUCGGAAUUACUGGGCGUAAAGGGCGUGUAGGCGGAUGAUCAAGCUAGAGGUGAAAGCCCAGGGCCCAACCCUGGAACUGCCUUUAGAACUGAUUGUCUAGAAUCCGUAAGGGGAGUGUGGAAUUCCUAGUGUAGAGGUGAAAUUCGUAGAUAUUAGGAAGAACACCAGUGGCGAAGGCGGCACUCUGGUACGGUAUUGACGCUGAGGCGCGAAAGCGUGGGGAGCAAACAGGAUUAGAUACCCUGGUAGUCCACGCCGUAAACGAUGUCUGCUAGCCGUUUGGGCACUUAGUGUCUGGGUGGCGCCGCUAACGCAUUAAGCAGACCGCCUGGGGAGUACGGUCGCAAGAUUA